UCUCGUGUUUAAAUCACAUUAACAGAGAGAUAUCCUCGAUAUACGAACUACACACAUACAACGUAAUCUAGUGAUUCUUGAUGAAUUGAAGAAAAUUAUUACCUACUUACGGCACCAAUCUACUAAACAUGGCACCGUACAAUUUGAGCUUAUAGGUAUCAAGACAGCUCGAAUCCAUCAGAGAAGCGGCCUUGGGACCCCACACCACAUAAGCAGUAGCGUCCUAAGAGCAUCACCAACAGUCUACCUAUCUAAUUCUCAAAACUGAUUUUGAGGGAUUUUAGUCCAAAAAACAGCUCCGACAGAUCCCCAACUCUCCUACCCGAUUUUUGGAGUUACCUUCUCCCGAUUCCUCGCUCCGUUUAUAUGUAGGUGUGAAAUUCGCUCCCAAUCUCGCACUCCCGCCUCUCUCCUCCCAUUCCCGCACGUGGGAGAUAGCGAUCUUUCUGCGCGUGAAAUAAAAAAACAGAAUUUUCUGUUGGUAGUUUAACAGAAGGGUCCACUUUUAAGUUUUGGGGAUUGAAUUUAGGCUAUUUGUUGGAGGGAGGAGUUUUUUCACUUCCUAUUUUCAAUUUAGGAAACCAAAAACAAUUUCAUCCAGUCGUCCUUCUAUUGUUUUAAGCUGAGCACUAAUCCGAGUGGAGAAAUAUGUCGGCACUCGGCAUCGCGAUGAAAUUGAACUGAACACUACAGCACUAAUGCUCUCGGUAACUUUACGAUUUCCUGGAGCUGCUUCUUCUUUUCCCAGUGCCUCUCAUUCUUAUGGAAGCCCUCCUUCUGAUUCAAUUGUGGGCCAAGUGUGUAUAUAGGGAGGAGGCAUGGGGUGUUUGCUUGAGCUAUUUAUUCUGCACUACUUUACUAGUUGUGCGAAGCAAUUUACGUGGCGAUGUGCGAGUCAAGAAUAAGCAACACUUGAUUACAGUGUGUUGUGUUUCACUUCCACGGUUCCACCUAUCAGUUCCUCUCUUUUGCAUGUUUAUACUAGCAUUAUGCCAAAUAAAUGACAGAAUGUGAGGCCUAGACGACGGGAGUGGGAAAUGGUACUGAUGAGACGCAUCGCUGAAGAGGAUCUUGUGCUUUAGAAGAUGAUCCAUUGCAUUCAUAGUGAAUGCAAUUGGGUUGUUUGAAUGAAUGGGCAUGCAGGAACUGAAUUCAUGUCAAGUGGCGAAAUUUCAUGUAUUAGAUGAAUCAUGCAGUGAUAACUGUGGCUCAAAGAAACAGCCCUUCAUUGGAAA